CCCCAUCUGUGCCAGAACAAACAUCCAGCUUUGAUUGCUUCUUUUCCUAUAGUGAAACUCCAAAAGGAAGCAUAUUCUGCUCUAAAUCAUCCUCCGGGCUGCUAAUUACUACAGCAGAUAAUCGAGGACAAAAGCUAACGGGGCUGUCAACUGAGGACGUUUACCAGCAUUAAGUAGAUCAAAGAGGGACCAAAAAAGCAUAGUGGAAAACAUGUGGAUAAGUCAGCUGCAGCUUGCCUACUAUUCUGUGGAAGAAUAUUGAAUAUCACUAUGACAUCAUUGCAUAACCAUGCUCUUUGAUUGGCCAGACUAUUACCUAUAAGCUCUGUUACAAACAUAUGGUUUAUAUUUGCACCUAUUUAAAUAACGCUUGUGAUGGUGGGAUAUAAACAAGAAUGGACUUUUAAUUCUAACUACAAUUUCAUCCAUUAAUCUAUGGAAAUGAAAAAAGUUUUCUAGUGAUAUUGUAUUCUCAUCAAAGAUUGAAGUAUUGCAAAACAAUUCUAUGAGCCUGCAAGUUCCAUACAUGAAACAAACAGAACUUUGAAAACAGAUUUAAACAAUCAAAGUUUAUUUGACACUUCUGUUACAGUCUGCAAAAUUAUGAUAAACUGGAAGCUUAUAAUUUACAUUUCUGAAAAGGAAGAAUCAAAGAUUCAAUCUCACUUUUUAUGAUAGUUGGAUAUGGAAGAAAAAGGAAAAAGAAGCCACUGAAGAAAAUGAACAAGAGAAUGUUUCUGGAGCUAUGCCUAUAAUUUAUAAUGAACUUACAGGUUGUGAGCAGUAACUUGUCCACCAUUCUGCAUAAGUAUUAGUAACAUAGUGCUAUUAUUUGUUUUA